rnacentral:rRNA from 1 species
AUUCCAGCUCCAAUAGCGUAUAUUAAAGUUGUUGCAGUUAAAAAGCUCGUAGUUGGAUUUCUGGCAGGAGGAGCCGGUCACACACUCUGUGCGUGAACUCGUGCUGUCUCUGGCCAUCCUCGGGGAGAUCCUGUUUGGCAUUAAGUUGUCGGGCAGGGGAUACCCGUCGUUUACUGUGAAAAAAUUAGAGUGUUUAAAGCAGGCUUAUGCCGUUGAAUAUAUUAGCAUGGAAUAAUAAGAUAGGACUUCGGAACUAUUUUGUUGGUUUGCGUUACGAAGUAAUGAUUAAUAGGGACAGUUGGGGGUAUUCGUAUUUCAUUGUCAGAGGUGAAAUUCUUGGAUUUCUGAAAGACGAACUACUGCGAAAGCAUUUACCAAGGAUGUUUUCAUCA